GAGUGCGAUCAUACCAGCACUAAUGCACCAGAUUCCAUCGGAACUCUGAAGUUAAGAGCGCUUGGGCGAGAAUAGUACUAAGAUGGGCUUUGUCACAGAACUUU
rnacentral:rRNA from 1 species